rnacentral:misc_RNA from 1 species
UCUCCGUAGGUGAACCUGCGGAGGGAUCAUUACAGAGCAUCAUGCCCUUCGGGGUAGAUCUCCCACCCUGUGUAUUAUAUACCUUUUGUUGCUUUGGCGGGCCGCCUUCGGGCACUCGGCUCUGGCUGAGGUGCACCUGCCAGAGGACCCCCAACUCUGUGUUUAGUAUUGUCUGAGUAAUAUUUUUAAUACGUUAAAACUUUCAACAACGGAUCUCUUGGUUCUGGCAUCGAUGAAGAACGCAGC